rnacentral:misc_RNA from 1 species
GAUGAAGAACGCAGCGAAACGCGAUAAGUAAUGUGAAUUGCAGAAUUCAGUGAAUCAUCGAAUCUUUGAACGCACAUUGCGCCCGCCAGUAUUCUGGCGGGCAUGCCUGUUCGAGCGUCAUUUCAACCAUCAAGCCCCAGGCUUGUGUUGGGGACCUGCGGCUGCCGCAGGCCCUGAAAACCAGUGGCGGGCUCGCUGUCACACCGGGCGUAGUAGAUUUUAUCUCGCUCAGGGCGUGCUGCGGGUUCCGGCCGUUAAAAAGCCUUUUUUACCCAAGGUUGACCUCGGAUCAGGUAGGAAGACCCGCUGAACUUAAGCAUAUCAAUAAGCGGAGGA